rnacentral:lncRNA from 1 species
AAAGACUGCUGCAGUGGAGGGCUUCAGUGGUUUUUUCCCUCUCUGCAGGCAUUUCCCACGGAGUGGGCUCUGGCUGUUCCAGUUCUCUACUACCUGACCGCUGUGUAGGGAUGCAAGGCUUAAGUUUCUUAGAUCUCUGGACCUCUGGGAAAUAAAGGAAGCCCUUUGGCAGACUCAGGUGUUCACGGUUCCUGCAUCUGCUUCAAAGCUUCUUUCCAGAGGAAUGAUGGCGUCAUGCUUCUGUCCGGUCUUCAGCCUUGAGAUCCACCUUCUGCAGCUCAAGACAAGGUAAGGUAUGGGUCCAUGGAAAGGGAACAUUCCAUCUCAUAAAGGCAUUGCUGA